UCCUUUUCAGGUCCACUUAUUGAGUUUCUCGCUCUACCCAGCUGUCCUCAUUUGCCUGAAGCCCAAUAUUGACUCUGUACCAGCAGUGAUUACCUAAUCGUCUAUUGGGAGGUCGGCCUCUCCCUGAACUUCCUGGGGUCCUCACUGCUUCUCACCUUUGCGCUGUGGCAGAGUGUGUUCUGUGCCAGCAGACAAGGAAAUCAGGUCACCUGCUGGUCAGAAGCUAACAGGCCCUGCCCUGGGUCAGUGGGUCCCCCUGUGCAGAGGCCCCACAAAGGCCCCGUUGUGCAUGACUAGCCACUCCCUGAUCUUCACUGCCAGCCACCCUUGGCAGUGCAGCUUUCCAGGUGUGUGCUGGGAGCUUUCCCAAGCCUGGCUUGCAUUUCACCUUUUCCCACUUUGUUGAGGUGAUUGUCCAGCUUGAGUUUCUCUUGCCUAUGGGGGAGGCAUAGGAUUGUCAGGUGGGUAGAAAAGCAAACCUGUGUUACUCUUAGAGCAGACCUUUGUGAGUUCUGAUCAGGGAACAUCCUGACUAAAAUAGGAGUGUGUAUAAACAUAGCCACAUUUGAUGCACACACCUUUGGGGGUGCUAACAGAACGUUGUCUUCCACUCUAAAAUAUUAUUCUCUCCCUUUUUUCUUGUGUCUACCUGUGGCCUCCUCCUGCCUUCCUCCCCACAGGGUUCUGGCUUUUGGGUGCAUCUGUUUCCUUCUUGGCUUGCCUUUUGUGAUUGUGUUCUGAGGGAUAGCCUCAGCCUGGGCUGGCCAGUUUUGACAGAUGCCUGAGUCCCUGCCAACAUCUUUUGACAUUUUGGCAAGGACCAUUUUGUGAAAGAGACUGAACGAGGGGGAGACCAGAGACCGGUGGCUCCUGUGUUCUCCUUCUCCAGCCCAAGUGCCUUCUUUUGGUGUAGACCAGAGUGCUUUGCACAAGCCGCAGCUGGCUUGGGACCGUGUCGUCGGAGCGUGUGGUAGGGAGGUCCCAGGAGCAGGAGCUGCAGCUGCUCUCCAUGCAGUAGCCUGAGCCCUGGUCCUAAAAACAGCACCACAGCCCAUGCCUGGCUCUUCAUUAGCAGCUAUUGCUUGGAAUGAGCAUUGGGGAUUGGAUUUGUAUCCAGUGCUGUACCCCCCCUUCACUGCCCCUCACAUUUAUUCAGCAUACACUGAGCAGGAUGCACUGCCAAGUACUCAGAGAGGAAACAAACCAAAGAAAA